rnacentral:rRNA from 1 species
AGUGAACGCUGGCGGUAGGCCUAACACAUGCAAGUCGAACGGCAGCACAGUAAGAGCUUGCUCUUACGGGUGGCGAGUGGCGGACGGGUGAGUAAUACAUCGGAUUCUACUUUUUCGAGGGGGGUAAGGCAGGGGAACUUACGCUAACACUGAAUACGACCUACGGGUGAAUGCAGGGGAACUUCGGACCUUGCGCGAUUGCAUGAGCCGAUGUCGGAUUAGCUGGUAGGCGGGGGAAAGGCCAACCAAGGGGACGAUCCGUAGCUGGUCCGAGCGGAUGAUCAGCCGCACUGGAACUGAGCGACCGUCCAGAGUCCUACGGGAGGCAGCAGUGGGGAAUAUUGGCCAAUGGGCGAAAGUCUGCACCAGCCAUGCCGCGUGGGUUAAGAAGGCCCUCGGGUUGUGAGGCCCUUUUGUCUGGAGAUAAUAUAAGCAUGUUGACACGCCGUGUUCCGCACGAUACCCACGCAAUAACGACCGGCUAACUACGUG